AGCCACAGCCAUAUCACUGUGCAGCCCAAGAGUGGUUACUCACUAAAGCUAAGCAGAGUUGAGCCUGGUCAGUACCUGGAUGGGAGACCACAUGGGAUAAACUAGGUUGCUGUUUGAA
rnacentral:rRNA from 1 species